CAUUGCUAUUCUAUAUAAGGAUCCAUCAAGCCAUAUCCACCCAUCUCUGUCCUGCUAGCUGUCCUUUUGUCUCUAUGGUAAUUAAGCCUUUCAUUUUGUAUCUUUUUAUAAAAAAUUAUGCUUUAACUAACUAUCUCAUUUUCUUCCUCGAAACCUAGAACUGAUGUUUAUAAAAUAUUAAGAAUAUUUUCCGUUUCAGCGUUGUUGAUAUCUGAUCCUAUCCGGUUUUGCAGUGACUGCAACUAAUUGAACUCGUCUG